rnacentral:rRNA from 1 species
UACGUAGGGACCAAGCGUUGUCCGGAAUCAUUGGGCGUAAAGAGCGUGUAGGCGGCUUGUUAAGUCUUGCGUGAAAUCUCGGGGCUCAACCCCGAGCGGUCGUGAGAAACUGGCAGGCUAGAGUGCGGGAGAGGAGAGUGGAAUUCCUGGUGUAGCGGUGAAAUGCGCAGAUAUCAGGAAGAACACCAAUUGCGAAGGCAGCUCGCUGGGACGUAACUGACGCUGAGACGCGAAAGCGUGGGGAGCAAACAGG